rnacentral:rRNA from 1 species
UACGUAGGGGGCAAGCGUUGUCCGGAUUUAUUGGGCGUAAAGAGCGUGUAGGCGGUUAUACAGGUCCGCUGUGAAAACUGGAGUACCUACCUCAGACGUCGGUGGAAACCGUAUGACUAGAGUCCGGAAGAGGAGAGUGGAAUUCCUGGUGUAGCGGUGAAAUGCGCAGAUAUCAGGAAGAACACCCGUGGCGAAGGCGGCUCUCUGGGACGGUACUGACGCUGAGACGCGAAAGCGUGGGGAGCGAACAGG